rnacentral:tRNA from 1 species
UCCCUGGUGGCUCAGUGGUAAAGAAUCUGCUUGUCAAUGCAGGAGACAUGGGUUUGAUCCCUGACCUGGGAA